rnacentral:rRNA from 1 species
AAUGAACGCUGGCGGCGUGCUUAACACAUGCAAGUCGAACGAGGUCGCAAGACCGAGUGGCGGACGGGUGAGUAUAACAUGGGCAACCUGCCCUUCAGUGGGGGAUACCUAGCCGAAAGGUUAGCUAAUACCGCAUACGGUGCGGCCUUGGAAUAGGUCGUACGAAAGAUUUAUCGCUGAAGGAUGGGCUCAUGGUCGAUUAGCUAGUUGGUGAGGUAAUGGCUCACCAAGGCGACGAUCGAUAGCUGGUCUGAGAGGAUGAUCAGCCACACUGGGACUGAGACACGGCCCAGACUCCUACGGGAGGCAG